rnacentral:rRNA from 1 species
UACGUAGGGCGCAAGCGUUGUCCGGAAUUAUUGGGCGUAAAGAGCUCGUAGGCGGCUUGUCACGUCGGAUGUGAAAGCCCGGGGCUUAACCCCGGGUCUGCAUUCGAUACGGGCUAGCUAGAGUGUGGUAGGGGAGAUCGGAAUUCCUGGUGUAGCGGUGAAAUGCGCAGAUAUCAGGAGGAACACCGGUGGCGAAGGCGGGUCUCUGGGCCGACACUGACGCUGAGGAGCGAAAGCGUGGGGAGCGAACAGG